AGAGGAGUAGACGCGGCAAACAACUUGUUCUCAUUAUACUUUGGAUCGCUGAAAACAAAAGGAAACAAUGAAACCUUGCCCGUUGUGCAGAGACAGCUACGCCAAUAGACCGCAGCAUCUCUGGGAUUUUCACUGUGUGACUGAUGGCACAGAACGCAGGCUCCUGCUGGGAAUGGCUUCUGGAAGAGCGGUGGGGUCCAGACCUGGUAUCUAUGAAUUGAGUGGUCAAUAAUGUAUUGUGUAAUAAUGAUCACUGUCCCAACUAAUGUUCUGUCUCCACAGAAAGAGGACAUCAAAUUGAUAGUGUGACUAGUCAAAUAUGUGUGUUGAAUUGAAAAUAAAUGUUCUAUUAUGUUUGAAUUCAA